AGUGAACGCUGGCGGUAGGCCUAACACAUGCAAGUCGAACGGCAGCACAGUAAGAGCUUGCUCUUACGGGUGGCGAGUGGCGGACGGGUGAGGAAUACAUCGGAAUCUACUUUUUCGUGGGGGAUAACGUAGGGAAACUUACGCUAAUACCGCAUACGACCUACGGGUGAAAGCAGGGGAUCUUCGGACCUUGCGCGAUUGAAUGAGCCGAUGUCGGAUUAGCUAGUUGGCGGGGUAAAGGCCCACCAAGGCGACGAUCCGUAGCUGGUCUGAGAGGAUAAUCAGCCACACUGGAACUGAGACACGGUCCAGACUCCUACGGGAGGCAGCAGUGGGGAAUAUUGGACAAUGGGCGCAAGCCUGAUCCAGCCAUACCGCGUGGGUGAAGAAGGCCUUCGGGUUGUAAAGCCCUUUUGUCGGGAAAGAAAAGCAGCAGGUUAAUACCCCGCUGUUCUGACGGUACCCAAAGAAUAAGCACCGGCUAACUUCGUG
rnacentral:rRNA from 1 species